CACGUAGGGCGCAAGCGUUGUCCGGAAUUAUUGGGCGUAAAGAGCUUGUAGGCGGUUUGUCGCGUCUGCUGUGAAAUUUCGGGGCUCAACCCCGAACUUGCAGUGGGUACGGGCAGACUAGAGGUAGGUAGGGGAGAAUGGAAUUCCUGGUGUAGCGGUGAAAUGCGCAGAUAUCAGGAGGAACACCGGUGGCGAAGGCGGUUCUCUGGGCCUUACCUGACACUGAGGAGCGAAAGCAUGGGGAGCGAACAGG
rnacentral:rRNA from 1 species